UAAAGAUACUCAAACUUAUGGCAGAUGGAAAUUGUUGAUGCCUGUUUGUUGUAAAUGUUUCAUCGCCGGGUUUUAUAGCCUGGUUAGAAUCUUGGCAUGUUUUUGGGUAUACGGAAGAUUUGUAUUAACGAGUCUAGCUUAUUUGAAAGUAAAAAGAUUUACGGAAAAAUUUGCGAAAACGUAUCGUGCCAGUUUUUCUUGAUUUUGUUGGGGGCUACUCUAAGCUUUGUGAUUUCGCACUCACCAAUUUGUGAGGCUUAAAGACGUUUCACAUUAAAAAGCAUUGUAGUUUUUCCUUGAAUCGAGAAAUUACAAUUCAGACUUG
rnacentral:misc_RNA from 1 species